rnacentral:rRNA from 1 species
GUCCUAGCCGUAAACGGUGCAUGUUUGCUGUAAAAGGAAUCGACCCCUUUUUGUGGCGUAGCCAACGCGUUAAACAUGCCGCCUGGGAAGUACGGUCGCAAGAUUAAAACUCAAAGAAAUUGACGGGGGCCUGCACAAGCGGUGGAGUAUGUGGCUCAAUUCGAUGCAACGCGAAGAACCUUACCUGGCCUUGACAUGUAACGUAGUAGAAGGGUGAAAGCCUGACGAGGUAGCAAUACCAGCGUACACAGGUGCUGCAUGGCUGUCGU